GACGAACGCUGGCGGCGUGCUUAACACAUGCAAGUCGAACGGAAAGGCCCUGCUUGCAGGGUACUCGCGUGGCGAACGGGUGAGUAACACGUGGGUGAUCUGCCCUGCACUUCGGGAUAAGCCUGGGAAACAGGGUCUAAUACAGGAUAGGAGACAUUUUGAGUGUGAUGGUUGGAUAGUUUUUUCGGUGUAGGAUGAGCUUGCGGCCUAUCAGCUUGUUGGUGGGGUAAUGGCCUACCAAGGCGGCGACGGGUAGCCGGCCUGAGAGGGUGGACGGCCACAUUGGGACUGAGAUACGGCCCAGACUCCGACGGGAGGCAGCAGUGGGGAAUAUUGCACAAUGGGCGCAAGCCUGAUGCAGCGACGCCGCGUGGGGGAUGACGGCCUUCGGGUUGUAAACUCCUUUCGCUAGGGACGAAGCUUUUUGUGACGGUACCUAGAUAAGAAGCACCGGCUAACUACGUG
rnacentral:rRNA from 1 species